CAUCCGCUAACUCUAUGCCAGUAGUCCCGGUAAGGCAGCGGAUGUAAAUGUUAUCUGGAAUGAUUGGGCAUAAAGCAUAUGUAGGUGUCUUUUCAAGCUAGAGCUCAACCCUGGAUAGGCGGUGGAAACUAUAAAGCUGGAGUAUAGUUAGGGUAGAGGGAAUUUUCUGUGAAGCAAUAAAAUGCGUAGAGAUAGAAAAGAACACCAACCACAAAAGCCCUAUCCUGGGCAGAUACUGACACUAAUAGCUGAAAGCUAGGGAGCAAAUGGGAUUAGAUACCCCAAUUGUCCUAGCCAUAAAUGAUGGAUACUAGGCGCUAUGCCUAUUGAUGGUGUAGUGUUGUAGCUAAUGUAUUAUUAAUCCCGCUUGGGGAGUACUUUCACAAGAAUGAAACUUAAAGGAAUUGGCGGAGGUCUUCACAAGUCGCAGAGCAUGUAGUUUAAUUUGAUGUAAAGCAAAGAACCUUACUAGGGCUUGACAUGCUGCUAAUCCUCUUGAAAGAGAAAAGUGCCCUCGAGAACGUGGACAUAGGAGGUGCAUAGCUAUCGUCAACUCGUGCCAUAAGAUGUUGGGUUAAGUCCCACAAAGAGCGCAACCCUCAUGUUUAGUUGCCACCAUUUAGUUUGUAACAUGAACAAACUACAAGUGAUAAGCCGGAGGAAGGUGAGAAUGAUGGCAAGUCAUCAUGCCCCUUAUGCCUUGGGUAACACACAUGCUACAAUGGGCGGGGCAAAGGGCCACGAUAUUGCGAGGAUGAGCUAACUCCCAAAAUCCAUCCUUAGUUCGGAUUGGAGGCUACAAAUCGCCUGUAUGAAGUUAGAAUCACUAGUAAUCGCCUGUUAUCCAUAUGGUGAUGAAUUCAUUCUCGAGCCUUGUACAUACCGCCCAUCACACUAUAGGAGCUGGCCAUACCCAAAGUUGUUACCUUAACAGUCAUA
rnacentral:rRNA from 1 species